UACGGAGGAUGCAAGCGUUAUCCGGAAUGAUUGGGCGUAAAGGGUCCGCAGGUGGCAGUGUAAGUCUGCUGUCAAAGAAUGAGGCUUAACCUCAUCAAGGCAGUGGAAACUACACAGCUAGAGUACGGUCGGGGUAGAAGGAAUUCCUGGUGUAGCAGUGAAAUGCGUAGAGAUCAGGAAGAACACCGGUGGCGAAAGCGUUCUGCUAGACCUGUACUGACACUGAGGGACGAAAGCUAGGGGAGCGAAUGGG
rnacentral:rRNA from 1 species